ncrna:unclassified sequences RT-3 RNA
GAUUGGCGUACAACAGUGGGGACGUGUCCCCGGCGUGGAGCCAAGAGGAAUGAGCCUCGCCAACAGCAGCCGUUUACGGCUGGAAAGGGGAAAAAUAAAGCGCAGGGCAAUGGGGUUUGGUAGGAACUUUUUUUCGAAGAAGCCCGGCCCG